GAGCAUUGAUGAAUACUGCUUCAACUGUGAUGGAUGGGUCUAUCAUCAUUAUCUAGUGUUCCAUAUGAAAAGUGAUGCUUCUAAGCUC
rnacentral:snoRNA from 1 species